AUAUAUAUAAGGUUUUUUUGUUCAUGGCAAAUAAAAAAAAGUUCACCAAGCAUCUGAACCAGAAUAUCAUGCUUAAUCAAAUUUCUAAUUGAGUACAGAGGCAAUUUCAUUCACAAACCUGCUCCCAACCUUAGGUUCCAAUUUGGCCAAGAUACCGGAAUUUAAGUUCUUGACGAGGCCCUUCAAAUCUUUGUACAGCUCCCCAUAAUUACUCGUCUGAUUCCCAUCAGAUAGGUAAUCAUUCACUCUUCGAAUAUAUUGCAACCAAACAAAAUUAAACAUCCAACCCAGAAACCAAACAAGUUAUAAUCCUUAAGAGUUGAAAAUCUUAAAAAAAAUAAUACUUGAUUUGGAGGUUGAAGGGUUCCUUCUGUUCUCCCUCAAGCUUCAAGCCAUAAAUUGCAAGGAUAUCUCUGAUCACCGAUCACCAGGCAUCUCACCAAGACAUAUUUUUAUGAGAAGACAUGGGAGAUAAAAGUGUGUGUGAAUUGAAUGGUAAACACUACUUAGGGAUGGUUUCUGUUCCAAUCGCGGAGUAUGGACGAUAGAAUGCUUGCUUCAGAAAAGGUAAUUGUGGGAUGUUAACUACUAUGACUGCUUGAUCCAGAGUUCAAACUUGUUAUGCACCAGAGGGAGCUUACAUGCCUAGAUCACCAUCUAGGUAAUGGAUAGAGGGAGCUUACAUGCCUAGAUAACCACUAGGAAUGGAUGGUUGUCGCUCAUCUCGAAAAUAAAGAGCGCUGCGUUGGGUGCCAAACAUAGUUGAUCAUGAUAAUAGCGACAUUUGUACACUUCCAAGAUAGAUGAUAAUGGUUGAUAUCUAGGCAUGUAGGUAGAACACAUACCAGAGGAUCCUGGUUCGCUUGACUGACCCUUGUUGUAGUCAUUAAUCAUCAAUUAAUGUUUUCCACUACAAUAUGAGCCAAAGUGGUCCUCCACCUAUUUUUUAUACUGAAGGGGAAUGGAAGCCUGGUUAAAAGAUAGGGGAUAUUAUUUUCCGGUUUGGUAAGUAUAUGUGCAUGGAUAUAUUGGUACAAAUUGAAACAAUAUAAUAUGCAAAUUACAUGGAUCCUACCUUAUUUCAUGCAAUGAGCGCAUAAGAGAAUUGUUUUAUUUGUUGGUUUUCCUUGAUAAUCUGUGUUUUCUAAAUAAUGAUAAUAGGCUACACAAGAUGUUGGACAUAGAAACCUUGGAUUAUAUAUAUGUUUGAGAUAGGUGAGAAUUCUGGGUUAUAUGAGGGUAUUCUCCUCAUAAUACUAUUAUGACAAAAUUUAACUCAUGAGUAUCAAGAGGCUUAAAA
rnacentral:lncRNA from 1 species